CGUCCUCCGCCGCUCAUCCCUCAGCUCUACUGUCCUCCGCUGCUCAUCCCUUAGCUCCACUGUCCUCUUCCGCUCAUCCCUUAGCUCCACUGUCCUCUUCCACUCACCCCUCAGCACUACUGUCCUCCGCCUCUCAUCCCUCAGCUCUACAUUACAUUAAACUUUGCACACAAUUUUUUAUUCUAAUUAAUACAUCAGGAAUUUAUUUCCGCAAUGAGAUUUAAAACAUGCUAAAAUAUACUGAACACAGCAUUGUUGUGUAAUUCUAACCAACUUUAAAAACGUACUUACUUAGGGACGCUCAAUGAUGCAAAAAAAUAUCAGUAUCAGUCGAUUACGGCUUCUUUUAAAGGGUCCAGUCAGAGUCCAGUCAGGCUGGGUCAGAGUCCGGUCAGGGUGGGUCAGAGUCCGGUCAGGGUGGGUCAGAGUCCGGUCAGGGUGGGUAAGGGUCCAGUCAGCGUUCGGUCAGGGUGGGUAAGGGUCCGGUCAGGGUGGCAUUAGAAGCAGAUUUGUCACAUCUACAUGAACAGGGAAUAAGACUUACCGUCCGCGGGUCAAAGGUAAACAAAGCCCUAAACACUUUCACCUGACCUGCAACACACACACACACACACACAAACACACAGUGAAACCUUAUUCAACACGCCCAAACCUGCUCAACUAAACACUUCCCACCAACACACCAGUACAGGAUAAGGUGGGCGGGGUUAUGGUGCCAGUCAGCGCCCUAAUGCCCACCUGUGCCCGCGGUGGGAAUAGGGAAGUAGAUCCGGAGAGAAACAAGCGGAGCAACACUUUAUGGUCAGUCCCGAACCAAACCCGGAAUGACAGUAAACUCCCCCCCUUUAUUCCGCGCGAUUAGAGAGGGUAUAAUGAAGAGCUAUAUAGUUCUUUUUCUGUAGAAUUAUUAUUCUGUGAGUGUUUAUAUGGUUAUAUGAGUUUAUUUAAAAGCUCAAUCCGGCGAAAAUAAACAACCGGUUAAUUGGCUAAUUAACGCUUUU
rnacentral:lncRNA from 1 species